GGCAGGGAGAGAGAGAGGGUGGAAAUGGUGGAUUCUUACUUGGCUCUUCGGUCCCGGCCGUCACUGCUCCUCGACCUCCUCGUUCUACUCUGCUUCUCUCUGUCCGUGGCGACGGCGUCGGAUCCGGACGUGACGGUGACCGUCGGAGGGAUCAGCGACGCGGAGGGGGCUCGGGUCGGCGCCGAGAUUGAGCAGCUUGCCCGCUUCGCCGUCGACGAAGACAACAAGAAGCAUGUCCUUGUUUGAUCUCUUCUUCGCCUUUUCGCCCCUGUUGCGGUUAUUGGAUCGGCUUCGAACUCCUUUUCGUUCUGUCGCUGGAUUCUCUACGUCAUCUUUAAGAAUGCCCUGUUGGAGUUCGCGCGCGUGGGCAAGGCGAGGGAGCAGGUGGUUGUGGGGACUCUUCACCACUUGACCAUCGAGGUCAUCGACGCCGGGAAGAAGAAGAUAUACGAGGCCAAGGUGUGGAUCAAGCCAUGGCUCAACUUCAAGGAGCUGCAGGAGUUCAGGCAUGCCGGCGACUCCUAAGGAUCCUGGCCUCGAGUGAGGCAAUGUCACGCCAUGAGACCGCAGUCUACUUGCUGUUAGGCUUCUUUUUAUUCUAUGUAUGAGAAAUCUAUAUACCAUCAACUUUCUGUUCAUUUUGAAGUCUUGACAAGAUUAAGGAUAGAGUGUUGUAAAAGGAGGGAUAUUGGAAGAGGGAGAGACAAACAAAGAAAUAGGGUUGGAAUGGAUUGAUUUAGUGGGGAUAAGACAGAAGAAAAGUGACCAAUGCCUUACUGAAAAAGAAUUACUUGUCAAUCUUACUGAUGUUAUGAUGGCAGAGCAUGGAUCCCUGGGCAUAUGAAUAGGGAAACUAAUCCAUUGCCAUAUUACAUAAAAUGCACUGGACAUACUACGGUGUUCUGCUAAGCUUCCAAGUGAGACUUUUGUACUUUGCUUCACAUUUCCUCUUGUUUCUCAGAAUAAUUAAUGAUGAUGUCAAUUGUGAGAAUGAUAACUAGAACUAGAUUUUGUACAAUGACCUGAACUUGUUACAAAAAUGGACCAUUUGAUGAGAUAUAUUGGAGUUGGGUUCCUGGUUCAGCUGACUAAUGAGAUUGUUUUUCUUUAUCAGAAUUUUGUUUUUACGAAUCCCUCAGAAGUUCGUUACUGCCUACAGGUUCAUCAAAUUUUUUGUGAACAAAUUUGAUGCUAGGUAUGCUGACAAAUGCUUUUUUAGAUUUUGAAAACCUUUGCUCAAGUUCUAGCAUAGCUAUCAGCAAUUCAUGGAGCUUCUUAAGUUUAAAAUUUAUCGUCUUGAAAUUGUCUUAUUGAAUAUGAUAUUGAUAUUCUAUCAAAUUGUUAAGUUUGCAAGUUGCAUUAUUUUUGUUACAAAGUCUAGCAGACAUUAUAGGGCCCAAAGGUAUGUGUUCUGAUCCAAAUUACUUGAACUGAAAAGAGAAUUGACAAAUUAAUCAGAACCUGAUUUUUCCAUGAGUUGUCAUAAUAUAGAAACUUGAAACUGUUAUGGUCAUCAUAAGAGUAGAUAUCAAUUAGCAAGCACCACUGGAGUAUGACCAGAAAAUCCAUCAAGUAUCAAAUCUCUGAUUCUAGGGAUCUCUCUUUCAAAAUGCAAUAUCUCAUGAUCUUUCAGCUGCUCCUACCUCUCAAAAUGUCUCAUACAUGAUUGAAGAUUAAUGCAAGACCGCUUAUGGACUGCCUUUCAGAGUAUUUCGAUCCUAAUCUAUCUGUAGAUGCUUUUAACAAAGGGUAAGGUCAAAGGUUGGCUAGUAGUGAAGAUCUAGAAAGCAGAAUGAAAUUGUUAUAAUAUUUAAAUUAAACUUGUGACUUCUAGGACAUAUAUCCUGAUGCUUAUCAGUCCUAAGAUUAACAUCAUAUGCUGUUUAGAUUUGAGAAACGGUUUUACGAAUGAAAAUACGUGUAGAUUUUUUUGUGACCAUCAAAAAGUUUGAGAAAAAUAAAUUUGGUGUAGUGAAGUAAAUUGGCAACAUAUGUCUGGUCCACUGAAGGGGGUAGGACCAGAUAGCAGACUAGUCACAGCAUACCAAAGGGAAAUGAUAACAGAACUAAAUUAUUUAGAGGUUAAAGAAGGAAGUGAAAGGAGAGUUAAUUAGAGGAACUCGAAGCUGCAUUCAAUUGGUUCAGAAUCAGUUGAAAACUUGAUUGAAAACUAUGCAUUCUGUAGAGACCCUAAAGAUAAGAAUUCCAUCCUAUCUUUUGACCUUACUCCCAGCUGAAAAUUGGAGAUUUGCUUACCCAACUCAAUUUAUAUCUUAAAAAUCAUCUGAUGGGUCUCAGAACUUCAAGUGAUGAUGGUGUACUAGACUCAUUUGUCAUAUUUUGAGGGUUGGAAACAUUAUCUAUAAUUAAUUUAGUCAUGAAGACUUUGUUAGAUCACCGUAAGGUCCUGGGGUCAAAACUCUUUUUCACCACUUAACCUUUACAAAAGGAAUUGUAAAGGAAUGAUGUAGUAAGAUCUAUAAAAGAUUAAAAAAAAAACAUGCAAGAUCUCUCAACGACAAUAAGAGGAUUCUGAUAGUAGCUUACCAUGUCCCUCUCAUGAAGUCCUGCAAUAGCAAUGUCUCUAGGAGUAAAGAUAUGAUGUUUAUCUUGUGUUGUCUCAAACAGAUUUUGACCGUAAAGAGGCUGCAGUUUUGCAUGUUUCAUGCUGUCUUUUUUUUAACAUUUGAUUGACAACAGUAGAACAUUUCUUGGAGUUCCUCUGAUGUCCAUGCCCGAGUAGAUUGAUGACAACAGAAGAUGCCAACCAAUACAUGGGAUUGAACCCUUGAUCUUCUGAACUGCAUCCUUAUGCUGUAAAGAGAGAUGGUGGCGACCUUUGUACUUCUUUUUACUUCACAAUUUAUGUUAUUUAUUUAAGUAGGUCAUGUUUAUGGUGCUAAAAGAGCUGUUAAAAGAGUUGGGACUUUCAAGAUAAUAUGAAGCAGAUGUGGCAGAAUCAUUUAGAUUCCAUGUGGUUGUAUGAUUUCUGCCACUUGGAACUGAUAUAUAUGUUGGACAAGGAUGUUUGGUUGUAUAUAAUUUACCUCGUGGCUCAAAGUAAAUUUGGACAUGCUUGAACUCUGCUC